GAGAAUCCGAGGGCAGAGAUCAGAGCAAAGGGCUCUUUAGUGAACUGAGUCAUCCUGACAUGGCAAGAUUUUGGAUGUAUAAAGAGAGACCUGCUUGUAUGGAAAGUGAAUGCCUGCCUACUGCUCUGAAGUGGAAUAGCAGAGAAUGAAAGGUAGGCCUACUGCUUUGAAGUAUGGAAGAGCAGAGAAUGAAAGCUAGCCAUAUGAACCAAGCAAAUGAGACUAGUCCACUACUAAGGUAUCAUUCCUUUCUCUUUUUAUUCUUUCGUUCCCUCUCAAUCUCCCUUUGU